GACGAACGCUGGCGGCGUGCUUAACACAUGCAAGUCGAACGGAAAGGCCCUGCUUUUGUGGGGUGCUCGAGUGGCGAACGGGUGAGUAACACGUGAGUAACCUGCCCUUGACUUUGGGAUAACUUCAGGAAACUGGGGCUAAUACCGGAUAGGAGCUCCUGCUGCAUGGUGGGGGUUGGAAAGUUUCGGCGGUUGGGGAUGGACUCGCGGCUUAUCAGCUUGUUGGUGGGGUAGUGGCUUACCAAGGCUUUGACGGGUAGCCGGCCUGAGAGGGUGACCGGCCACAUUGGGACUGAGAGACGGCCCAGACGCCUACGGGAGGCAGCAGUGGGGAGUAUUGCACAAUGGGCGGAAGCCUGAGGCAGCAACGCCGCGUGCGGGAUGACGGCCUUCGGGUUGUAAACCGCUUUCGCCUGUGACGAAGCGUGAGUGACGGUAAUGGGUAAAGAAGCACCGGCUAACUACGUG
rnacentral:rRNA from 1 species